GGUCUCGGUAUCAAUCAGGUUUACGUCUGCUAUCUCCUCGACGAUUCUAGCCCACAAUCCAAUCCACCCAGCAGCUAUGUCCACAAAGCCAACGGUUUCUCCUCCGAAGAAGUCCUUUCCAGCAAGGGCACUUUCCAACGUCUUAAGGUUCUCUCGCGCUUCUUUUGCCGCCUUCUCUUUCUCCUCCCCUUGGUUGGUGAAUGCACUCAUAAUUGCCGGCACACACUGAAACAAACAACAACAAAUGGUCCGUUUGAAUGCUAAUUCACCCAGUUGGUGCUUGUGAAUAUUAUGAAUGAAAGAUUAUUACUUGUUGAUCAAGAUAGCUCAUUCAAUUACCUUUUCAUCGAUGAAUCUGGCCCAGAAGCGUGCCUGUGCCCUUUCGUAGGGAUCUUGCGGCAGGAUCGGAUUGUGCUUCCACGUCUCAUCGAUGUAUUCGAGUAUAAUGAGCGAUUCCGCGACCGGCUUGCCGUCGUGCACAAGAACGGGUACUUUUUUGUGGACGGGGUUGUAACGGAGGAGCAAGGGGCUCUUGUUUGGGAGGUCCUCUUCAACAUACUGGUACUCAAUCUCUUUGAGUUUCAAAGCCCAUUUUACUCUGAGAGCAAAAGGACUUGCCCAGUACCCAAGCAAUUUCACUGAUUCUCCAGACAUUGUUCCAGUUUUGUGGCAUCAUAUUCCCAAUUCCGCAUGCCAAUUUAUAGACAGAGUUCAAUGAUUUCUUCUUUUAUCUUUUGUGACGUCAUUGCUGAUGUCACGUAAGCCAAUGAUUGAGUUUUCUUUUUUGUUUUAUUUUUAUUUUUAUUUUCCUUCUUUUUUGACCAGACGAAUUUUCUUGCAGUUAAAACUUUGAGUUUGACCUGCAACGUUUGAGAUGGAGACGGCUUUGACUUGUC
rnacentral:lncRNA from 1 species